rfam:Camelus ferus unplaced genomic scaffold scaffold340, whole genome shotgun sequence.
GAGGGUGUAGCUCAGUGGUAGAGCACUGUGCUUAGCAUGCACGGGGUCCUGGGUUCAAUCCCCAGUACUUACA